GACAGAGGAUGCAAGCGUUAUCCGGAAUGAUUGGGCGUAAAGCGCGUGUAGGCGGUCCGGUAAGUCCGCUGUGAAAGUCGGGGGCUCAACCCUCGGAUGCCGGUGGAUACUGUCGGGCUUGAGUACGGAAGAGGCGAGUGGAAUUCCUGGUGUAGCGGUGAAAUGCGCAGAUAUCAGGAGGAACACCAAUUGCGAAGGCAGCUCGCUGGGACGUUACUGACGCUGAGACGCGAAAGCGUGGGGAGCAAACAGG
rnacentral:rRNA from 1 species